rnacentral:rRNA from 1 species
AUGGGUGUUGGCUCCAACAAUUCUCAUUGGUCUCAAACCAAUGAGAUGCAUUUCGAUGAUCAUGAGUUUGAGGUGGACGAGGAUGGUGAGGGCAUCGUAGAUGCACAUAAAGGAAGAGGGGGCAACUACACCAUGGGCGAAGACAUCUUGCUAUGCAAUACUUGGUUGCAAGUGUCGAGGGAUCCCGCCAUUGGAGGGGAUCAAAGUAGAGAUGCAUAUUGGCUCCGGAUGAAGGAACACUUUGAUCUACACAACAGAAGUGGAAUUGACCGCUCCGGAAGAUCUCUUCGCUCCCGGUGGUCGACAAUGAACGCACUUAAGGCGGUUGACACGUUGAACCCAAGUGGCACUAAUGAUAGAGAUAGGGUAAGUGCCAUUUCUUUCAUGAUUCUUCGAUGUUCAUCAUGCUUCUUCUUGGUGUUUCAAGGCCGAGGACUACAAAACCUAUUGCACAAAACCUAUUCCAAGGAGAGGAGAAGAGGAUCAAGAAAGGGAAGAUCAAGAAAGGGAGACCAUUUACCUUCCCUCAUUGCUAUGAAGAACUGA